rnacentral:RNase_P_RNA from 1 species
GCGGAUGGCCGGAUGGCCGCGGCAGGGCGCAAGCCCGGUCGAGGAAAGUCCGGACUCCAAAACGGCAAGGGUGCCGGGUAACGCCCGGCGGGGGUAACCCCAGGGAAAGCGCCACAGAGAACAGACCGCCCCGGUUUGGCCGGGGUAAGGGUGAAACGGUGGGGUAAGAGCCCACCGCGCGAUGGGCAACCAGAGCGGCACGGCAAGCCCCACCCGGAGCAAUGCCAAAUAGGGGCCUCGCGCCGGUGUGAUCGGGCAACCGAUAUCCCGGCAGGGACGCCUGACCCGAGAGGCCCGGGUUGGCAGCCAGAGGCGGCGUGGCAACACGCCGUUCAGACGAAUGGCCAUCGAACCGGGGCAACCCGGGGAACAAAAUCCGGCUUACAGGCCAUCCGCGCGU